UCGCUCGGUUGUGUACCGAUCGUCCUUAUCUUAUUCUCUCUUCUACAGCCGUCUAAACUAAAUUCAGAGAGUGGGUUGCUUCUUAUCUUUUCUACAGCCUUCUAAUCUAAAUUGCGAGAGUGUGAUAUGGAUUUCUAUAAUCAGUGGAUUGCUUCUUUUGUCUACAAUCGUGUAAGGAGGAUUGAGAGGAAAAAAAGGGAGAAGAAUAGCGAUUGGUUUUGGUUGUGAAGAAAAGGGAGAAGAAGAGCGAUUGGUCUGCAUUUCGUUCGGAUAUUAUUCAGAUAUCGAAGAAGGGACAGUGGUGCUCUGAUUUGUGGCUUUGGUGGGUUUGGCGACAGUGAGGAUCGCAGGUUAAAUAUUCUUGCUGAGCUGCUGUGUUUUGGGGAUCGAGAGUUCUAUAAAGAUUGCUGAAAUGCAAAAAUAGUUGAGGAGGUAAAACCACCUUCUUAUUGGCACUUGCCGGAAAACUGGACAAAUCCCUAAGGUUGCAGGGGAGAUUUCAUACGAUGAUUACAAGCUAGAUCAGUUUGUUCCUCAAAAAACUCCAGCGUACAUAAGCCAACACGACCUUCACGUACCUGAGAUGAUUGUAAGAGAAACAAUCGAGUUUUCAGCCCACUGUCAACGUAUUGGAAGCAGAGCUGAUUUGCUCAUGCAAAUAUAAUGCUAGAGGUUAGCAGGAGAGAAAAGGAAGCAGGAAUUGUUCCUGAUCCAGAUAUUGACACGUACAUGAAGGCAAUCUCAGUUGAAGGACAAAAGAAAAACCUCCAAACUCACUGUUUUGAAGUGAACGCUAGAUGUCACACGUCUCAACACCAGAUGAGGCACGUCUCAACACCAGAUGAACCAACUGAGGGAAUUUAAUGUUUUUUGUCAUGUCCAACCAUUUUUGUAACCAGUAUCAAAAGCAACUUUGGUUAGAAUGUUGAUUUCUGGAAAAUCGUCAAUAGCCAAGCUUAGUCUGUUUGGAACUUUGAUUUUUGAAACAUGUAAAUAUAUGAAUCUGGUUAGACCACCAGA